CUGGCGGCGUGCCUAAUACAUGCAAGUCAACGGUCUUUCUAUGGAAGCUUGCUUCCACUGAGAAGAUAGUGGCGAACGGGUGAGUAACACGUGGGUAACCUGCCCAUAAGAGGGGGGAUAACAUCCGGAAACGGGUGCUAAUACCGCAUAGUUUUCUUGAUCGCAUGAUCGGGAAAGGAAAGACGGCCUUUGUGCUGUCGCUUAUGGAUGGACCCGCGGCGUAUUAGUUAGUUGGUGAGGUAACGGCUCACCAAGACGAUGAUACGUAGCCGACCUGAGAGGGUGAUCGGCCACAUUGGGACUGAGACACGGCCCAAACUCCUACGGGAGGCAGCAGUAGGGAAUCUUCCGCAAUGGACGAAAGUCUGACGGAGCAACGCCGCGUGAGUGAAAGAAGGUUUUCGGAUCGUAAAACUCUGUUGUCAGAGAAGAACAAGUUGGAGAGUAACUGCUCCAGCCUUGACGGUAUCUGACCAGAAAGCCACGGCUAACUACGUGCCAGCCGCGGC
rnacentral:rRNA from 1 species